ACGGGUGCGUAACGCGUGGGAAUCUGCCCUUGGGUACGGAAUAACUCAGAGAAAUUUGUGCUAAUACCGUAUAAUGACUUCGGUCCAAAGAUUUAUCGCCCAAGGAUGAGCCCGCGUAAGAUUAGCUAGUUGGUGGGGUAAAAGCCUACCAAGGCGACGAUCUUUAGCUGGUCUGAGAGGAUGAUCAGCCACACUGGGACUGAGACACGGCCCAGACUCCUACGGGAGGCAGCAGUGGGGAAUAUUGGACAAUGGGCGAAAGCCUGAUCCAGCAAUGCCGCGUGAGUGAUGAAGGCCCUAGGGUUGUAAAGCUCUUUUACCCGGGAUGAUAAUGACAGUACCGGGAGAAUAAGCUCCGGCUAACUUCGUGCCAGCAGCCGCGGUAAUACGAGGGGAGCUAGCGUUGUUCGGAAUUACUGGGCGUAAAGCGCGCGUAGGCGGCUUUUUAAGUCAGAGGUGAAAGCCCGGGGCUCAACCCCGGAAUUGCCUUUGAAACUGGAAAGCUAGAAUCUUGGAGAGGUCAGUGGAAUUCCGAGUGUAGAGGUGAAAUUCGUAGA
rnacentral:rRNA from 3 species